rnacentral:rRNA from 1 species
CGGCACGCCUAAACAUGCAAGUCGAACGAAGUAGCAAUACUUAGUGGCAGACGGGUGAGUAACAUGUAGGUAUCUUCCCUUUGGCCUGGAAUAACACGAGGAAACUUGUGCUAAUACUGGAUAAGUCUUUACAGAGAAAGCUUUAUGCACCAUUGGAUGAGCCUGCACUUGAUUAGUUUGUUGGUAGGGUAAUGGCCUACCAAGACUGUGAUCAAUAGCUGAUUUGAGAGGAUGAUCAGCCACAUUGGGACUGAGACACGGCCCAAACUCCUACGGGAGGCAGCAGUGGGGAAUCUUGCACAAUGGAGGAAACUCUGAUGCAGCGAUGCCGCGUGAGUGAAGAAGGCCUUUGGGUUGUAAAGCUCUUUCGUCGGGGAAGAAAAUGACUGUACCCGAAUAAGAAGGUCCGGC